AUCAUGUCUUCACACAGAGAAGUACAAGCGUAGACAAACAUGAAAAAUGAUAAGUAAAUUUGUUUGGUUAAAUAAUUUAAUUAGUAGUUCAAUUAACAUUCACUUCUGAAAUACACAAGCAUUUAUUUGUUUAUCAAAGCGACUUGACAUUCGUAUUUGUGCAGAGAUGUGAUUGCAGGUCGUGUGAGAUAACUCGGCGUGUUUUACAGCUGAAAAACACCAUCUACAAUGUUCUUUUAGAAACUCGUUUCGUGAAAAUGAGAAGAUUUCUCCACUGAAAUUGAUAUCCAAGCAUUUGUUUCGGGUAAAAAAGAUAAAAGACAUAAACGUAAGUCAGAAACAAAAUUCUUGAAGUAACCUAUACCGCAAGUUGGACGCUUUGUUUUACCAGCAGACCAUGGAAUUCUCUUUCAAACGUCAGUUGAAACAAAACUGGCUGAUAUAAUGUGUUUGAAGUGCACGCACGUGGGUGAUGUACACCACCCACGCUACCUAUUCUUGGAGACUCUUAAUGUUCCUUACGCCAAAUGAAUGCCAAGUAUGCCUUUGUAGAAUUAGUCUUUAACUGCUUUAAUCCAACUGACAACAAACUCGAAGACAUUUAAUAAUCUUUUCAUUUAUUAUGGGCUUGAUUGAGUCACUUUAAGCCUCUAAUUAUUUUUCAUCUUUAUUUUGAUGCAGUAAAUAAAACACUUGGAAAAUUUUAUUUGAGGAAUAAAAUAAAUUUUUAUCACCUGCAAAAAAUGUUAUUUUAUUAAUUCAUGCUCAUAAAAUAAAAAGGAAAUGUACAUUAAGUAACUCUUAUAAUUGUGUACAGCAUAAAGAACUACGUGUACGGAAGAUUAUUAAAAAGAAUCGGAGUACAUUACACCGGUCAUCUCAUCGGUGGUCUUGAAAUGAUAAACCAACUGACAGAGUGCAAGUAAACCAAAAAAAUUCUUAACAAGUUGACGUUAUAAAUUAUUAAUGCUUAUCCAAAUUAUAACCGAUACAUUUUUGUGAUACACUCUACGGGAGGGCUACAUUACACUAUGUUUUUACGGGCAUGCACAUAUUGGAUGAGACAGGCCUAAAAUCAUCACGGCAUUUGCAGUGAAAAUCGAAACAUAUUGAGUUUGGAACAACGCAUUGGUGAUCCACCCAACAAUAUCCACCUAAAAG